CCAUUUGCUUCCACGCGUUUGUCAUUGAUGAAUCCCCUCUUUGGACUGUGUUCUCGAUUUUUCUUUUGUUUUCCGUUGCUUACUCACAUCUUUCUCCCAGAUCUCUCUUCUGCUGUUCUCGGGCUUACUAAAUCUCGCCUUCGAUUCCAACAAGUGCAAUCAAUGUCGCCCCUCAAUUCCCUUUACCUUUCUGUUGCCUUCUCUCUUUCGCCGUCGAUCUCUGCUUCGAUCCGUCUUCUCUCUCACAAAUCUUUGCUUUUGUCCCCUUCGAACCUUUUCUGGGGUGAAUAGCUUCUCCACCACUUAGCACUGCGAGUGGGCGGAUUUCAUGGUCCUCGCCAUCGGAAGAUCCACGUCGCACGUCAAGAACAUCGCUCAAGCCCUAAUUUACAAGGCAGAAAAACAGAGGAGAAGAUGGAGAAGCAUGGCAAGAGGUCGUGCUUUUAUAGGCUCUCAGAUUAGGGUUAUGCAUUUUUUCUCAAUUUAAUUUUUCUUUCUUACAGUGCAGGCUUCUUUUAUUUAAGGCCCAGCCGAAUUUCACGUGCAGACUUAUAUCUUGGGAGAUAACCUAUUUUCAAAAACAAUUUUUUAGAGUACACAAAAAGUAUUACAUUUUCAUUUAAAUUAUAACACGUGUAUUUAUGUGCAAAAAAGCCAUAAGGAUCAUGGCAUUUCAAUUUUUUUCUUGGUUUUUACUGUUACUUGAAAGCAACAUUAGAAGCAUGUAAUAAUUUGGUUACAAAGUAUGAGAUUAGUUAUUUGGAAUAGCAAGGUUGUAUAAAGAAGUCACUUAUCCAUGGAAUUUUUGUACGGUAAAAGAUGCUUAUCGGGGUCAAGAGAUUUUAAUAGUUCUCUUUAAAGACUAUUUGUGGCAGAUAUACUAUAUUGUUAUAGUUUAAGAAGAACUAAAAUGUGUUAGAUCAUUUGGUUCUUCAUACUUUAAUUUAAGUUUUCAUUUCUUUUUCCAGUUAUGCAGUGCUUUCAACCAAAAAAAAAAAAAGAAAGAUCAUUAUAAUACUAUUUCUGUUUUGUGUAUCUCAUUUGUGAUUGCAUUUUCCAUUGCAGAUCAUUAUGAAAGCAAUUUAUAUAAGCUACAAAGUGCUUUUGCAGAAA